UCAAAAUCAAUAGGGGUCAUCUGCGAGUCAUGAUCAAUCUACCUAUGAAGUUUCAUGAUCCUAGGCAAAAGCGUUCUUGAGUUAUCAUCCGAAAACCAUUUUACUAUUUCAGGUCACCGUGACCUUGACCUUUGACCUAGUGACCUCAAAAACAAUAGGGGUCAUCUGCAAGUCAUGAUCAAUCUACCUAUGAAGUUUCAUGAUCCUAGGCGUAUGCGUUCUUGAGUUAUCAUCCGGAAACCAUUUUACUAUUUCGGGUCACCGUGACCUUGACCUUUGACCUA